CUAUAGUCAUAUUUUCUACAUGCAUAUGCAAAAUUCAGAUAUCGAAUAAUUAUAGACAUGAUAUCUACAUGAAAGUGUAGAAGUUCCUAUAGACAUGGUAUCUUUACAUGAGAACGCAGAAAUUCCUAUAGACAUGGUAUCUAUAUGAGAAUGCAGAAAUUCCUAUGGACAUGGUAGCUAUAUUAGAAUACAGAAAUUCCUAUAGACAUGGUUAUAGGAGAAUACAUGAUUCCUAUAAAUAUGUUAUCUACAUACAAGAAUGCAGAAAUUCUUAUAGAUAUGUUAUCCACCCUUUUUUACAUACAUAGCUGCCCUAUUUUUUUACUAGACAUCCCGAGAGUUUAAUUACAAAGUUAUUACAUCCCAGAAAGAGUAAAGUUAAGUAAAAAUACAUCAGAAAUUAAAAGUACAACCAGUGAGAACCUGAUUCAGACUUCCUAUCUGAAGUAUGAAGUAAACCAACUCCAAGGAUCAUAUUUAAAAGCUUUUGUCUCAUUUGCGGUGUGGCAGAGUUCCCUAAGAGUUUCAUUAGAACUCUUGGCAGUGCUUACACCCAAAUGUAUCACCAGAUUAAGCCAUAGUGUUGUGUGGAAGGGUAAGCCCUCAAGUGUCUAAGUUCAGAGGGAACUCAAGGUCCCAAGGCAAGGCUUACAAGAGGGGGGCCAAAACUUAGGAACUAAGAGAGUGUGUAAGUGUAGAAGUAGAAUUCUGAAAGGGGAAAAGGAAAAGGGGAAUAACUUAAAAUCAGUACACAUAAGGGUAUAAGGGAAUGGGGAAUUUGCAAGAGGCAAAAUAAAAGUAGGUUGAUGGGCACACCCAGCAAUGGAAGAUGUUGGCACACCCUCCAGCCUGUUUAUAUUGAGUUGGUUCAAACUUAAUUCAUAGGCAAUAACUUACAUUGACAUGCCUUACGUCACAACUUACAAACACAUAGGGUAAUAGGUGUAGGGAGAAAAGAUUCACAGCAGAAACAGGCAAAUGAUAUGAGCAUACUAAUUUAAAUGUUUAACUCUAAAGAAACAUUAAAGUAGCCAUGGAUAUAAAAGUUUUAAAUGAACACAUUGUGGCGAUGCUGAAACUUAAAUUAGGACAUACCAGUUUCAAAGAAACAAAUAGAGAAAAUGCAGUAGUCUUGUAAAAGCCACAGUGCAGACAAGAAGAGAGGAUACUAUCAUGCGUAAGUAAGAGUUCAGAGGGGGUUGUGAAUUGUGAAGUGUAGGAUUGUCAAUCGUGUCUAUUGUGUGUUAAAGAGUCGUGCAUUUAUAGUGUGGAAGUCAUGAGGAAAUAAGGUAAGAAAAUAGUUGAGGAGCUGAUUGUCAAUCAAUUACACAAGACUUUCUUUAAUUAAGGGAUUCAGAUUCAAAACGAUUAAGAACCAUUUAAGGAAAGAAAUUGAACAAACACUUAGUAAAAAGCAUAUAAUUAAGGGUCAAUACAUAAAAGGUUAUUUAAGGAAAGGGUUUUGAAGUGCACAGUUGUACAAAUAAGGUAAUUAAAAAGCCAGUAAAUCAAAGGUCAGGGGUCUUGUAAUUAUUGAUCCAUGAAUGAGCUAAGUCGCGAAAGCCGAGAAGGGUCUUGACUUAGGUCGAGUCACAGAGAGAAUCAGAAAACAAUGGAAAGAAAUCAAUCAGACUAUAUUCAGAGGAGAAUAUUAACUGAUCACAAAUUUGAAGGCCACUUUAAAGGGAAGAUUCAUCAUAUAUAAGGAGCAUACGAACAUGUUAAACAUGAAAAAGACUAUAGUGUCAUUGUAAAAUCAGUAGAGAAAAAUCCAGCAUAGAAGAAUUUAGUAAAAAGUCAGAAUUGUAUGAAAACAAAGAUUUCCAAACUCAGUUCAAAUAAUUAGGAAUUCUUUUAAAUAAAAACUCUAGUUUCAAGUAAACCACAAAACGAAGAUGAGAGGGCAAGCAAUUGAAUCGAAACAUAUUUAGAGGUUUCAGAAAAGAACUGAAACUUCUAACAUGCUUCUUUCAGCAACGGGACUCAUAAGUAACAUGCAAACACAGUAGAAGGUUUCAAAGUAAACAGAGUGAAGAAACUAAUUCGAAGCAUAAUGAAAAAAGACCAACAAGAACAAUAGAAAAAGCUUGCUUAAGAAGAUUUUUUAGAAGAAACUUAAACAGUGCUCAGUAGCAGAAAAAUAAUAAAAACACUUAAGAACACCGUAGAAAAAUAUUGUAGGAGAAACAUACCAGAACAUGGUAGAAGAAAAUACCAGAACAUAGUAGAAAAUCAUACGAGAACAUAGUAUAGGAAAUACAGUAUGCAUACAAAAAUAGGGUAUAGAAAACACAGUAGAAGAACAUACAAGAACAUGGUAUAAGAAAAAUACAAGAACACAGUAGAGUCAAAUACACACAAAAUAAAAAAGGAAAGAAAGUCAGAGAAACACUUAAACAUUUUUUUAGAAAAUCCUAGAUUGGAAAAGAAAUGGUUCUGAAGUAAUUUUUUGAAAGAAAAACCAGAGAAAUCAUUUGAAAACAUAGGUAAAGCACAGAUGCACAAUAUAUCUAAAGAAAUCGGAGAAAACCUCAGAGGGUUAGGGUUUCAGAAGAACCUUAGACGUAAGAAAGGCUUUGAAAAGUCAUCGAUCUGAGUUGGAGAGGCCAAAAUCAAGUUCACACAACCAUGGCACCCCGGAGCAAGGUCGGAGAUGGCUGUGGAACCUUGAAUCGACAGAGGCCUAGGUUCAAACCUUCAAGGUUAGGCCUUGAAUCUUCAAAAAUCAGGCAUGUGGGAGCCAUAUGAGGCUGGUGAAGGACCCCCAUAGCCUUGGAAGCCAUAGAUUCUGGUGGCUUUCAGGGCGGAGGUGGUAGGAGGAGAUUAGGGUUUGAGAAUAUUCAAGAGAGGUUGAGAGAGUGGAAGGUUU
rnacentral:lncRNA from 1 species